rnacentral:rRNA from 1 species
UACGGGGGGGGCAAGCGUUGUUCGGAAUUACUGGGCGUAAAGGGCUCGUAGGCGGCCAACUAAGUCAUACGUGAAAUCCCUCGGCUUAACCGGGGAACUGCGUCUGAUACUGGAUGGCUUGAGUUCGGGAGAGGGACGCGGAAUUCCAGGUGUAGCGGUGAAAUGCGUAGAUAUCGGGAGGAACAUCAGUGGCGAAGGCGGCCUUCUGGUCCAGUACUGACACUCAAGUGCGAAAGCGUGGGGAGCAAACAGG